rnacentral:rRNA from 1 species
GCGAACGUUGUUCGGAAUCACUGGGCUUAAAGGGCGCGUAGGCGGGCUGUCAAGUCUGGGGUGAAAUCCCACGGCUCAACCGUGGAACUGCCUUAGAUACUGACGGCCUCGAGGGAGAUAGGGGCGAGCGGAACUGUGAGUGGAGCGGUGAAAUGCGUUGAUAUUCACAGGAACUCCGGUGGCGAAGGCGGCUCGCUGGAUCUUUUCUGACGCUGAGGCGCGAAAGCUAGGGGAGCAAACGGG